rnacentral:rRNA from 1 species
AACGAACGCUGGCGGCAUGCCUAACACAUGCAAGUCGAACGAGACCUUCGGGUCUAGUGGCGCACGGGUGCGUAACGCGUGGGAACCUGCCCUUAGGUUCGGAAUAACUCCCCGAAAGGGGUGCUAAUACCGGAUAAUGUCUUCGGACCAAAGAUUUAUCGCCUUUGGAUGGGCCCGCGUUGGAUUAGCUAGUUGGUAGGGUAAAAGCCUACCAAGGCGACGAUCCAUAGCUGGUCUGAGAGGAUGAUCAGCCACACUGGGACUGAGACACGGCCCAGACUCCUACGGGAGGCAGCAGUGGGGAAUAUUGGACAAGGGGCGAAAGCCUGAUCCAGCAAUGCCGCGUGAGUGAUGAAGGCCUUAGGGUUGUAAAGCUCUUUUACCCGGGAUGAUAAGGACAGUACCGGGAGAAUAAGCCCCGGCUAACUCCGU